CAGUUAACAUAUUGAUACAUGACUUAAGUGGCAUUACAGGAGUAUAUCACCAUGCCCAGCUAAAGGGCACUUAUUAUAAAUACUGUUUAUAUUUAGGUUUUCAAUAAAUACUUGCUGUACUAUUUAAAAUACUUGUUUAUCUUAAUAUAGAUGAUACCAAUAUUUUGAUUCAGAAGUAGUGUAAAUCUUACAGAUCACUGUAAUUUGUUGCUAAAUAGCCUUAAGCCUAGCUUCAGGUUCUAUAAUAAUUAAGGAAAGUAUUAAUUUUCCUGGUCUCCACUUCUUUGUCAGCUGAAUUGCAUUGUCAUAGUACCUGACAGGAUUGUUGAUGAAGUGAGUCGAUGUCAGUUGAAUGUUCUUGACAUACGGCAGACAGGUUGAUCAAUGUAAUAGAAUUGAAGACUCAGAAAUAAAACCACACACUUAUGGACACUUGAUCUUUGAAAAAGAAGCCAAAAAAUAUACAGUGGAAAAAAGAAGGCAUCUUCAAUAAAUGAACUGCAGGGACAAAAAUGGAGAAGAGACUGAGUGAAAGGUGGUCCAGUGACCAGCCCAACUUGGGCUCCACCUCAAGGCGAGGUUCCAAGACCUGACACUAUUACUGAUGCUAUGGUGUGCUCACAGACAAGAGCCUAGCAUGGCUGUCCUCUGAGGCCCAAGAAGCAGCUGAUUGAGACAAGCAAAUACCCA
ensembl:processed_transcript predicted gene, 26621